rnacentral:rRNA from 1 species
CACAUGCAGUCGAACGGAGCUUAGAGAGCUUGCUUUUUAAGCUUAGUGGCGAACGGGUGAGUAACGCGUGAGUAACCUGCCCUAGAGUGGGGGACAACAGUUGGAAACGACUGCUAAUACCGCAUAAGCCCACGGUACCGCAUGGUACUGAGGGAAAAGGAUUUAUUCGCUUUAGGAUGGACUCGCGUCCAAUUAGCUAGUUGGUGAGGUAACGGCCCACCAAGGCGACGAUUGGUAGCCGGACUGAGAGGUUGAACGGCCACAUUGGGACUGAGACACGGCCCAGACUCCUACGGGAGGCAGCAGUGGGGGAUAUUGCACAAUGGGGGAAACCCUGAUGCAGCGACGCCGCGUGGAGGAAGAAGGUUUUCGGAUUGUAAACUCCUGUCGUUAGGGACGAUAAUGACGGUACCUAACAAGAAAGCACCGGCUAACUACGUGCCAGCAGCCGCGGUAAAACGUAGGGUGCAAGCGUUGUCCGGAAUUACUGGGUGUAAAGGGAGCGCAGGCGGGAAGACAAGUUGGAAGUGAAAACCAUGGGCUCAACCCAUGAAUUGCUUUCAAAACUGUUUUUCUUGAGUAGUGCAGAGGUAGAUGGAAUUCCCGGUGUAGCGGUGGAAUGCGUAGAUAUCGGGAGGAACACCAGUGGCGAAGGCGGUCUACUGGGCACCAACUGACGCUGAGGCUCGAAAGCAUGGGUAGCAAACAGGAUUAGAUACCCUGGUAGUCCAUGCCGUAAACGAUGAUUACUAGGUGUUGGGGGGAUUGACC